rnacentral:rRNA from 1 species
AUGUCAUCGUCGCGGUACCGGAGUCACAACCGCCCAGCGCCAGCGGCCUUGGCUACGCGCAACAGCACGCGCCGACAGGGCAGGGUCUCCGAUGCCGACGCCGCCAUCACCAGGGACGCAUCCCCGUGGGCGUCGCUGCACCAGGAGCUAUUGGACCUGAUCGCGUGGCGGGUGUUGGCGGUCGACUUCCGGGGCUACGUCCGGUUCCACGCCGUGUGCGCGUACUGGCGCUCCAGCACCACUUGCCCGCGCGGUCGCGGCAUCGUCGACCCGCGCUUCCACCCACCGCAGUGGAUGAUGCUGCCCGAGGGCCACGGCCUCUACCCGGGCCACGACAAGCUGCAGGGGCUCGUCCGCUUCUUCAACCUCUCAACCGGGGCGUUCGUCCGCGUCCACCUCCCGCUCUUGAGUGACCACAGCGUCCUCGACUCAAUCGACGGUAUCCUGCUGCUGCAGCGGGACCACGACACCGUCGUCCGCCUCCUCCACCCAUUCACCGGCGACAUCCUCGGCUUCCCGCCUCUCAAAACCCUCCUGAGUUCUGUGAUCGGCUCGACAUCGUUGGAAAGCAAGUGACACAAGUGGUGCAAUAGUAUCAAAAAUAUCAAUGCUGCCGCCAUGAACGUGGGCGCGGAUGAAGUCGUCUCGCUCAUGAUUUUGGGGGCUUACGGUUGGAGUAAUGUGGCCUUAGCUACCUCCGGGCAACGGCAAUGGAGUGUAUCAAGCUCGCUCAACCGCCGAAGCUGUAGUCCAUUCUCGUUCCAAGGCAAGAUAUAUACGGUGCGCUAUAACAAAACUUUCACCGAAUCAGAGGUCCUACAGAUCGGCCCACCUCAGCUAGAAGGGGUGGAACCCUAUCUGCCACCACCAAACGUGAUUGCCAUAUGUCCGGCGAGCACACCCGGCACCACUUAUUUGUACCAUCUGGUAGAAUGCGACCAAGUGAUUCUGGUGGUCAGUAUCUCUACUUUUAAUUGAGCAGUUGCACGGGCGUUUUUCUAGUAAGCCAUAAUUAUACUAAGAAGAGCCGUCCCGACGACAUGCAUUGGUGGCAACGCCCUCUUCAUGGAAGGCAGGAUGUUGUGCGUCAGUUCUAAGGCGUUUCCUACCAUCAUGGGUGACACCAUUGUCUUUCUCGAUUGUCAGAAACAUUAUCUUGCUCAAUACCACCUCGGCAGCGGCACAUUGUCGCCAGCAAUAGAUAUAUCUAUGUAUGAUAUGUCAGGUCCUUGUAGCAUCAUCUGUCAUAUAUACAUUCCACCAUUAUUCACCCUGAUGAUAUCGUUCUUUUCCCCACAAUAUUUUGUGCUUCUAGGUAAACUCAUUGUUUUCCCCUCUAUCUAUAGGAACAAAGGAGAAAUAGCAUGUCCGGGGCAGGAGGACAAGUGGCAGGUGAAGGAAAAGUGA